UGGAAGCUCAAGACUAUGGACGUAUUUGAUAAACUGUACAGAACAUGAUUAUAACUCGUCUUUCCUUUAUUCAUAGUGUCCGAUUUACCAUAUCAACCAUAACACUGAAAUUAUUGUAAUAUAUUCGUGGGCAUGAAAAGUGAAACAAGUUAUAGAAGGUGAUGAAGAGAAAAAGAAAGAGGGGUGAGGUUGGGGGGGGGGGGGGUUACGCUUUGGUAGCAGCAUAGAUGCCCUAAAUAGGAUGAGAAGGUACAACAACGGAUGCACCAGAACCAAUAUUAACAAUUGCACCUUUCUUCCUUGCAACCAUUUCUUCUAUAAUACCUCUUUGUAAUCAAACUUCUAACCUCCACAUUAACUCUCACUAAAUUCAUCCAAAUUUCUUCAUCCACUUCAUGAAAAAACAUUGCUGAUGGAUAUGUAACUCCAAGAUUAUUGAUUAAAACCUCAACAUCCAAACCCUUAAUGCCCUCUUUCAUUUCAAGAAUUCGAUUACGAAAAUCUUGAUCAAUGUAUUGGGAUAUUUGGCUUGAAUUUCAUUACUUACAUUUUUGAGUUUGCUCAAUUUUCUGCUAACUAGUAUUAGGUUUAGACCUUUUUUGGCAAGUUGGAAAGCAAAAGCUUUGCCUAUGCCAUCAGUUGAGCCAGUGAUGAUCAGGGCCCAUGAUCCAUAAUUCUUGAGAUUUUUGGGUUUUCUGAAAAAAUGUUAUGAAGAUCCAUUUGAGAAGGAAAAUUGUGUUCUUGAAGAUAGAGAGAAAGCCUAGAAGAGAAAGAAGAAUUAUCCACACAAAGGUUGUGUUUUUAGAUGAAUAAAGCAGGUUGACAGCAUUUCUUG
rnacentral:lncRNA from 1 species